rnacentral:rRNA from 1 species
UACGUAGGGUGCAAGCGUUGUCCGGAAUUAUUGGGCGUAAAGAGCUCGUAGGCGGUUUGUCGCGUCUGCUGUGAAAACUCGAGGCUCAACCUCGGGCUUGCAGUGGGUACGGGCAGACUAGAGUGCGGUAGGGGUGACUGGAAUUCCUGGUGUAGCGGUGGAAUGCGCAGAUAUCAGGAGGAACACCGAUGGCGAAGGCAGGUCACUGG